CUGAAACCUAAUUUUCCGUCUGCGCCUCCCUCCUUCACUCCCCUAGAAAUUUCCAGCUGAAGAAGAGGAGGAGGAGAAGCAAUACAUGGAGCAAUCUCAUCACACCCAUGUUGUGAAAUCACAGAUCUGUAAGUGUGUCUGAAAGAUUUGGUUUGCCCUAAUUUUGAAGACUUUGAUUUGUUAGAUCGCACAUUGAUUUACUCUUAUCAGAGAUUUGAUUCGCAUACCAUCAUUAGAAAUUGAUAUUGGUGCUGUUGAAAUGGAUUACUCACCUGAAUAUUUAGAUUACUCUGUUCAAUUGUUUGGUUAUGAUUAUGGUUUGGUUUGUCUGUGGUUUUGUAAUAGAUGUGAUUUGAGGUUUCUUUGUUGUUGAAACAUGAAACCCAUCCACUAAAGAAUACAAUAAAAGAAGGUAGAAGUUCAGUCUCCAAUAAUUACGGGAGAGAUUCUUGAAGUUGGGUCAAAGAUGUAUAAAUAUGUCUUUAUUGUCUACUCUCAAAUAAUUUACAUGACACUUUUAAAAGAACUAGGAAGGAUUCAGAUUUGGGUUUAUCAACUUCGGACACGAGAUUGUUUACUUGUGAAUUUGCUUGGCAUCCUUGGAUUUUUGUCAUUGAUUGUUCAAAUGUUGUUUACCAAGUCGAUUCGAGGUUUAACAAGACUAAUGCAAGCAUCCUAGCGAAGAUCAGAUGUGCCGCCACAUUCGGAAGAGCGGGUUAUGAUGGUUUUAAUUUCAGUAUAGCAAGUAAAUAUAGCCUACAUCGCUUUGAUACCAGAAAACCACUAUCUCCUAUGUAGUGCAGGCUCACAAUCUGAUCUAGUUAAAAGUUGUAAUUGAUGCUGUUGAAAUGGAUUACUCACCUGCAUAUUUAGAUUAUUAUGUGAUUUGAGGUUUCUUUGUUGUUGAAACCCAUCCACUGAAGAAUACGAAAAAAAUGUAGAUAUUAAGUCUCCAAUAACUAUGGGAGAAAACCUUGAGGUUGGGAGAGAGGUGUAUAAAAUAUUGCUUGGCAUCCUUGGACUUUUGUCAUUGCUUGUUCAGAUGUUAUUUACCAAGUUGACUUGAGGUUUGAGGGGAGUGGUGCAAGCAUCAGAUGGGCCGCCACAUUCUGUAGAGCGAGUUCUGAUGGUUUUAAUUUCAGUACAGGAAGUAACGAUAGCCUAUAUCUCUUAGAUACCAGAAGCCACUAUCUCCUGUGUAGAGCAGGCUCACAAUCUUGAUACACCGACUUAUAUGCAGGUGUUCAAUCUGUCAGAUUAAGGUGCAAGGUGGAAUGUAACAAAGAUCCAUGGGCCACUCAUUCUGCUAUUGCCAUUUUGCUGAGGUCAUUUUGGAAUAAUGACUUAGUUUCGGUGGUGGCUAGAAGGGAAAACAAGCGGUAAAAAAAAAGAAGGUUGUAUUCACUGCUAGAUCAGAAUGUGUGUGUGUAUGUAAUAAUGGAAGUUUGAAAGAUCGAAUUUGACUAUUUAGAUUGGGAAGAAACUUGAAGUCUAAAUCAGAAAGAAGCACUACUUGACAUCCAGAUGUAUUUGAGGUUACCAAAGUAGUCAUGAAAGAAUGUCUUCGCCUACCUCUAGCUUUCAUCAAUGUUGGUCGAACUGUUCCUAGCGCAAAAUGACUAUCCGAAAGUGGGAGCUUCCACUCAGUUUCAGGAAUGCGCUAAACUAUGCUUUUUGUAAAUUGAUUCAGUUGUACACCAUCUCUUCCGCUGAUUGGAUUUCAGUCAGUUUGUCCUCCUAGAGUGAUGGCAUUAUGUUUCUGAAGGAUGGUGAUGCGUGGCUUGUUCAGAUGUUGUUUUCCAAGUUGAUUCGAGACAACAAGAGUAGCAACCAUUCUAACAAAGAUCAAGUUGUUUGCUGCCGUGCAUUCAGAUGGGCCUGACCCUGACAGUUACAUUCUGUAUCAACUAUCAAGUGUUCAAACUUCCAGAAUUAAGGUGCCUAUUACAAGGACUCUCUCAAAGUGGCAACGUCUACUCAGUUUCAGGUGGGUCUGGUCCAGUAAUUUCCACUACAAUAAUUUUAGAUGAAUGCGCCAAACGAUAUGCUCUUUCGUAAGAAUCCUCUGAUUGUACUCCAUUCUCUUCCAGUGAUUCGGCUUCAGUCUGUUUGUCUUCCUUGCACGACAGCAUUAUUUCUGUGAAGGAUAGUAAUGUGUGGCUUGUUAAUGAGAAUCUUGGCACAAAAGUCAAUGUCUACUAGAAAUCUAACAGCUUCACGGAAUCGCGUAAAAACUUUACUUGGGAUUAUUUGCUUCCUGCUCUGAAUCUGGUGGCAAAGAGGCCUCGAGAUACUUGUUCAACAUCAAAGUUCAAAUCUCCACUGUCGUUUUCCAUCGACGAUCCUCAUUUUCUUAUCUCGUUCUCUUUUUGGUUUAGCAUUUACGUUAUUUUAACAGAGUUGGUUUUGUGUACAUCCAUUUUCAACCAAAUUAUUUUAUGAUGGAAACAUUAUGGAAUUUAGGAAGAUGUUGGAUUCAAUAAACUUGAGAUUAAACGAAAUUUUACUCAAAAUGCA